rnacentral:lncRNA from 12 species
CCUAGAUACCCGAAGGUCACUUGGAGAGAUUUUUCAGGUUACCAGCUUGACAGUCUUUAUCUGAGAAGAGGCACUGGAGGCUUCUCAAGGUGAGAUGGAACAUAUCUUCCAGGUUGCCAGAUAGGAUGGCUAGCUAGGGGUGGCUAGAUAAUAAUUAACAAGCUCAUUACCACCUGCCAUUUCAGAACUGCUCAUCAACCCAGGUCCAUUUGAUGUUCAUUUGCUUCUUGUGAAUGCAAAGACGGGUGCAUUGAGAUUUUCCUGAUAGCCCUUCUGACAUUAUGAUACCUGUAUGUGCGUGUGUGUGUGUCUAUUUGUGUUGCUGUGUGUCCGUGUGUCUGUGUAACUUCGUGUGUAAAAUCCUAUCUAAUCGAGAGCUGCACUGGAAGGGGCUGUGUCUCAUUUUUAAUAAUGUGGAGAGAGGACUAAUCAGCUGAACAGUGUGUACAGGGUCCCUUCUAGAAUGCAGAACAUUGAAUAUGGUAAUGAGGCAGUCAGGAAGCUCAGCAUGGGUUCUUUUAAUUUUUUUUGUGAGGAAACAUAAAAUAUUCUUUAACAGUGAUACCUCUGAAAGUGUUGGAUUGGCAAGAUACACACAUAUACGUUUGUAUGAUUUUGCUCAUGGUAGGAUAUAUCCAUUCAUGGGAUAUUUGUUGAGAGCUUACAAUGAAGCAGGAAAACCUGGAAAGAUGACUAGAAGAUGGUCGCUAAUGAGAGAUGCAGAAACUGAGACCACUUAAUUUUUUUGCUUGGAAGACAUCUAUACAAAUCGGCAGUCCCUAACAUUACCAUGUUGCAGAAAGUGAGGCCUGGAAGGGAACUCUGAGAUCAAUCUGUCCAACCCCUUUAUGGUACAGAUGGAGAAGCUGAGGACCAGGUGGUAAGUAACCUUGCCAAAGCCAAACAAUUAUUUAUUGAUGAGCUGGGACUACAGCACAGACCUUCAGUCUCUUAGUCCAGUGCUCUCUGAGCUGAUUUACUCUUUAGAAGUUGACCAGUCCUAGGAUUCAGAUCCCUUAGAAUAUGUGCAGCAUCUUAGUUGGGAACAUAGAAUCUGGAAUUAGAAAGACUUGGAUUUCAGUCCAAGCCCCCUACUUAACAUCUCAGUGACUUUAGGCAAUUUAUACUACCUCUAGGAGCUCAGUUUACUCAUCUGCAAAGUAGGGACAGUUCUGGUAUUACCUUAUAGGGUAGGUACAUCUUUUACUAGAUGGUGCACCUUACAUGAAGGCCUGGCAUAUGGCAGCGGGUCAGUGGCAACAAUGAUGGUGGUGAUGGUGGCGACAACAUUGAUGAUGGUGGUGGUUUUAAUGAUUAUGGGUCUCUCUCCUUUACUACUUUCUUCUACCUGUAGAUAACAGGGUACAAACCCAUCCUUUCUAAUAUAAGAAUUGGCCAUGACAAAUAUGGCCAACAUAACUCAAGGUGAACACCACAUUAAAACAAUUGGCUAGUAAGAGGUGGUUCUAACUCUUGGUUAUAUAGAAAUUGACUGCAUUUAAGUUUGUUAAAUGUUAAUGGGCUGCUAACAGCCUCCAAUCUAACGGAGCUGAUGUCUUAGCUCCUGCACUAGAAAAACUACUGAAGAGAGACUCAUUUGUUUUUCUUCUCUUUCCCAGUCUCUUCUCGCCUCUGCCUGAACAUAUAAAGAAACUCUCAGGCCCCAAAUUAAUAAAGAAACAAAAAUCAAAGAAAAGCUUUACUUU